GAGUUUGAUCAUGGCUCAGAACGUACGCUGGCGGCACGCCUAACACAUGCAAGUCGAACGAAGUAGCAAUACUUAGUGGCAGACGGGUGAGUAACAUGUAGGUAUCUGCCCUUUGGCCUGGAAUAACACGAGGAAACUUGUGCUAAUACCGGAUAAGUCUUUACGGAGAAAGCUUUAUGCACCAUUGGAUGAGCCUGCACUUGAUUAGUUUGUUGGUGGGGUAAUGGCCUACCAAGACUGUGAUCAAUAGCUGAUUUGAGAGGAUGAUCAGCCACAUUGGGACUGAGACACGGCCCAAACUCCUACGGGAGGCAGCAGUGGGGAAUCUUGCACAAUGGAGGAAACUCUGAUGCAGCGAUGCCGCGUGAGUGAAGAAGGCCCUUGGGUUGUAAAGCUCUUUCGUCGGGGAAGAAAAUGACUGUACCCGAAUAAGAAGGUCCGGCUAACUUCGUGCCAGCAGCCGCGGUAAUACGAAGGGACCUAGCGUAGUUCGGAAUUACUGGGCUUAAAGAGUUCGUAGGUGGUUGAAAAAGUUAGUGGUGAAAUCCCAGAGCUUAACUCUGGAACUGCCAUUAAAACUUUUCAGCUAGAGUAUGAUAGAGGAAAGCAGAAUUUCUAGUGUAGAGGUGAAAUUCGUAGAUAUUAGAAAGAAUACCAAUUGCGAAGGCAGCUUUCUGGAUCAUUACUGACACUGAGGAACGAAAGCAUGGGUAGCGAAGAGGAUUAGAUACCCUCGUAGUCCAUGCCGUAAACGAUGUGUGUUAGACGUUGGAAAUUUAUUUUCAGUGUCGCAGGAAAACCGAUAAACACACCGCCUGGGGAGUACGGCCGCAAGGUUGAAACUCAAAGGAAUUGACGGGG
rnacentral:rRNA from 1 species